rnacentral:rRNA from 1 species
CACGUAGUUAGCCGGGGCUUCUUAGUCAGGUACCGUCAUUUUCUUCCCUGCUGAUAGAGCUUUACAUACCGAGAUACUUCUUCACUCACGCGGCGUCGCCGCAUCAGGGUUUCCCCCAUUGUGCAAUAUUCCCCACUGCUGCCUCCCGUAGGAGUUUGGGCCGUGUCUCAGUCCCAAUGUGGCCGUCCGCCCUCUCAGGCCGGCUACCGAUCGUCGCUUUGGUGGGCCGUUACCCCGCCAACUGGCUAAUCGGACGCGGAUCCAUCGUAUGCCGAUAAAUCUUUUCACACCGUACCAUGCGGUACUGUGCGCUUAUGCGGUAUUAGCAGCUGUUUCCAACUGUUAUCCCCCUGCAUACGGCAGGUUAUCCACGCGUUACUCACCCGUCCGCCACUAACUUAACAAUCACUAGGUUUCAUGUUAAGCCCGUUCGACUUGCAUGUGUUAGGCACGCCGCCAGCGUUCAUCCUGAGCCAGGAUCAAAACUCU